AUUGAACGCUGGCGGCAGGCCUAACACAUGCAAGUCGAGCGGAUGACGGGAGCUUGCUCCUUGAUUCAGCGGCGGACGGGUGAGUAAUACCUAGGAAUCUGCCUGAUAGUGGGGACAACGUUUCGAAAGGAACGCUAGUACCGCAUACGUCCUACGGGAGAAAGCAGGGGACCUUCGGGCCUUGCGCUAUCAGAUGAGCCUAGGUCGGAUUAGCUAGUUGGUGAGGUAAUGGCUCACCAAGGCGACGAUCCGUAACUGGUCUGAGAGGAUGAUCAGUCACACUGGAACUGAGACACGGUCCAGACUCCUACGGGAGGCAGCAGUGGGGAAUAUUGGACAAUGGGCGAAAGCCUGAUCCAGCCAUGCCGCGUGUGUGAAGAAGGUCUUCGGAUUGUAAAGCACUUUAAGUUGGGAGGAAGGGCAGUAAGCUAAUACCUUGCUGUUUUGACGUUACCGACAGAAUAAGCACCGGCUAACUCUGUGCCAGCAGCCGCCGUAACAC
rnacentral:rRNA from 1 species